GGCCCAUAAAUUGCUGAUCUCCCUUCAUCCCGGGCUAUCAACGUCGACAGCCCAUAAAAACUCACGACAAAGGCGCCGU
ncrna:Pseudomonas putida H8234 narK RNA